UUUCAGGGUUGAGUUUGUGCAUCGAUUGUGAACACAACAGGCAGCAGGCUAUAAUGGUGGUCCUGGCUGGAGUAGUUUUCACAGACUUCAGUAAUCUGUGGAGAUGAACGGGCAGUUCUCUGUAGUUUUCACAGAUCACUGCCAGUUCGUUUUGAGGCCUUCAGGAGUGAAGACCUGGCUCAUCAUCACUCUUUGUUGUUUUGUUAAAUUUAUUUACACCCUACUUUAUUCCAGAGGAAAGGAUUUAACGUAGUUUACAUAAAUGUGUACAUCAGGGUAAAUUAAAAAUAAGUACAGAGAAAAAUAGGACAAAAGAAAACCGUGAGUGUGAAAGAUAAGAUUAAGCCAGCAGUUUUGUAUGCAAAAUGCAUGGUGUAAGGUCCUAUUGGUUUGCUGGAGAUAAUGUCUGUGCCUAUCAGAUAAAGGCAAACCAGUGCUCAGAGGAACCCAACCAUCUCUGAAUUGAGACCAGAGAGCUGUCUCUAUGGAUAGUCCUUAGAGAAGGCAUUUCGGAACACAGUAAACAGCAGCCUGGUGACUCCGAUUACAGGGCCAGUUGCCUUUGUUACAAUAAAAGCAAGUCAUCUACACAGAUUUUUCCUACCAGGAAGAGCAUGUGCUGACCAACAGACAUGAAUUUCAGCCUGGUAGUUACAACAUUCACAGGAGUUUCACUCGUUGCCCAGGCUGGAGUGCAACGGCGCGAUCUCAGCUCACUGCAACCUCCGCCUCCCCAGUUCAAGCGAUUCUCCUGCCUCAGCCUCCUGAGUCACUGGAAUUACGGGCGCCUGACACCACGCCCAGCUAAUUUUUUGUAUUUUUAGUAGACAUGGGGUUUCACUAUGUUGGCCAGGCUGGUCUCGAACUCCUGACCUCAUGAUCCUCCUGCCUCAGCCUCCCAAAGCACUGGGAUUACAGGUGUGAGCCACUGUGCCUGGUCCAUUAAAAACAUUUGUAAAGCUAUGGUGUUGAUAAAGUAUUAUGAAAGACUGCAAAAAAAGAUGGCUAAUUUUUAGUUAUUAUUGCACAUGUUUAGAGGAGCUAAUGACAUUUUCUAUGAUUAAUAAAAGACAUUAUUUAUGUUUUUAUUUAUGUAUUCCACAACAUUUAUUUUAUUUUCUCCAUUUCAGGAAAACCACUAUGUUGUUACAAUAAAGAUUUUCAUGUAAUUUGUGUUCAAUUGAUAGUAAUAAUGUAACAAGUUAAAAAUGAAGGUAAUUGUGUUUAAAAUUUGAGCAUAUUUUCAUCAAAAUGUAAGUUAAAGUGAUUGUAAAUUUUAAGAUCAUAAUUACUUUGUAUAUCUUCAAGAAAAUUAUUGUUUUAAAAUAUUUAUGCCUAUUAAAAUUAGAAGGCAAAAUAAAAAUAUAUGAAUACCAACAUUUUAAAUAAAAAUCAUUUAAAUAA
rnacentral:lncRNA from 1 species